rfam:Pristionchus pacificus strain PS312 contig11696, whole genome shotgun sequence.
UCUCCAUUUCGCAUGCUCUCUCGCCGGUUAGAGCAAGCGAGAGAGCAUGCGAAAUGGAGAGA